UAAAAAGGGCAAACCUGUCGAAAGGCAGGGGCGCAAAGCCAAGGGUCUAAGGUUCUAUAACUAUGACAGCCGGUUGCCGC
rnacentral:ncRNA from 1 species